CACGUAGGGCGCAAGGCGUUGUCCGGAAUUUAUUGGGCGUAAAGAGCUCGUAGGUGGUUUGCUGCGUCCGCUAGUGAAAACCCAAGGCUUAACCUUGGGCUUGCAGUGGAUACGGGCAGACUAGAGGUAGGUAGGGGGAGACUGGAAUUCCUGGUGGUAGCGGUGAAAUGCGCAGAUAUCAGGAGGAACACCGGUGGCGAAGGCGGGUCUCUGGGCCGAUACUGACGCUGAGGAGCGAAAAGCGUGGGGGAGCGAACAGG
rnacentral:rRNA from 1 species